rnacentral:rRNA from 1 species
AGAGUUUGAUCCUGGCUCAGAACGUACGCUGGCGGCACGCCUAACACAUGCAAGUCGAACGCAGUAGCAAUACUGAGUGGCGAACGGGUGAGUAUAAUGUGGGUAUCUGCCUUUUGGUUUGGAAUAACACGAGGAAACUUGUGCUAAUACCGGAUAAGCCCUUACGGGGAAAGUUUUAACGCCAAAAGAUGAGCCUGCACUUGAUUAGCUUGUUGGUAAGGUAAAAGCUUACCAAGGCUACGAUCAAUAGCUGAUCUGAGAGGAUGAUCAGCCACAUUGGGACUGAGACACGGCCCAAACUCCUACGGGAGGCAGCAGUGGGGAAUCUUGCACAAUGGGGGAAACCCUGAUGCAGCGAUGCCGCGUGAGUGAAGAAGGCCUUUGGGUUGUAAAGCUCUUUCGUCGGGGAAGAAAAUGACUGUACCCGAAUAAGAAGGUCCGGCUAACUUCGUGCCAGCAGCCGCGGUAAUACGAAGGGACCUAGCGUAGUUCGGAAUUACUGGGCUUAAAGAGCUCGUAGGUGGUUAGAAAAGUUGGUGGUGAAAUCCCAAGGCUUAACCUUGGAACUGCCACCAAAACUUUUUGACUAGAGUAUGAUAGAGGUAAGCGGAAUUUCUAGUGUAGAGGUGAAAUUCGUAGAUAUUAGAAAGAACACCAAUUGCGAAGGCAGCUUUCUGGAUCAUUACUGACACUGAGGAGCGAAAGCAUGGGUAGCGAAGAGGAUUAGAUACCCUCGUAGUCCAUGCCGUAAACGAUGUGUGCUAGACGUUGGAAAUUUUAUUUUCAGUGUCGCAGCAAAAGCGUUAAGCACACCGCCUGGGGAGUACGACCGCAAGGUUAAAACUCAAAUGAAUUGACGGGGACCCGCACAAGUAGUGGAGCAUGUGGUUUAAUUCGAAGAUACGCGCAGAACCUUACCAACACUUGACAUGUUCGUCGCGACUCUAAGAGAUUAGAGUCUUCGGUUCGGCCGGACGAAACACAGGUGCUGCAUGGCUGUCGUCAGCUCGUGUCGUGAGAUGUUGGGUUAAGUCCCGCAACGAGCGCAACCCUUACUUUUAGUUGCCAUCAUUUAGUUGGGAACUCUAAAAGAACUGCCAGUGAUAAGCUGGAGGAAGGUGGGGAUGACGUCAAGUCCUCAUGGCCCUUACGUGUUGGGCUACACACGUGCUACAAUGGUACUUACAAUGAGAUGCAAAGAGGCGACUCUAAGCCAAUCUCAAAAAAGUACCUCAGUUCGGAUUGCACUCUGCAACUCGAGUGCAUGAAGCUGGAAUUACUAGUAAUCGUGGAUCAGCGCGCCACGGUGAAUACGUUCCCGGGUCUUGUACACACCGCCCGUCACACCAUGGAAGUUGGUUACACCUAAAGGCAAAACGUAAAACUUUUGACUACGGUACGAUCAGCAACUGGGGUGAAGUCGUAACAAGGUAACC